rnacentral:rRNA from 1 species
GACGAACGCUGGCGGCGUGCUUAACACAUGCAAGUCGAACGGAAAGGCCUGCUUUCCCUUGUGGAUUGCGGGUACUCGAGUGGCGAACGGGUGAGUAACACGUGAGUGAUCUGCCCCCAACUUGGGUAUAAGCCUGGGAAACUGGGUCUAAUUCCCGAUAGGACUGCAGGGUGGUGCCUGUGGUGGCAAACGAUUUUCUAGUGGUUGGGGAUGAGCUCGCGGCCUAUCAGCUUGUUGGCGGGGUAAUGUCCUACCAAGGCGGCGACGGGUAGCCGGCCUGGGAGGGUGGACGGCAACAUUGGGACUGAGAUACGGCCCAGACUCCUACGGGAGGCAGCAGUGGGGAAUAUUGCACAAUGGGCGGAAGCCUGAUGCAGCGACGCCGCGUGGGGGAUGACGGCCUUCGGGUUGUAAACUCCUUGCGACCGCGAGGAAGCCACCUGGUUGGAAGGGUGGUGACGGUAGUGGUAGAAGAAGCACCGGCUAACUACGUG